CAUUAAACCAACAGCGCCGCUGCCCACUGGGCUCCAGAGGCGACCCCUGACCCCAGGCCCUUCCCUCGCCCCCGGCGGCUCCGGGGGCUUCACGGGGAGGGCGUGAAAGAACCCUUUGUGGAGAAGACCGGCCCCGGACGGGGUUGAGACUCGGUUUCCAACCGAGAACGAUCGUGCCGGUUAAACAUUACUGAGGCUGAGAGUCCGCCGAGGAGGCGGCACGCCUGGGCCGGGCGCCUCUCCCGCCGAGCAUCCUGGGAGCGUACGAGGCAGCCACCCAGCACAUCACCGCACACCCCACUGAGCUCUGACCGUGCGCCAAGCACUGGGCUGGGCGCCGGGGUGGGUACGCAGCUUCCGUCGUGAGCCGCUCAGAGCCGCUGGAUGUUCACUGAAGUUCCUGAUCCAGACGAAGUUCCAGGAGCCGCUCAACCUCAUCGGUUGGGGCGACGUGGCUUAGCCAACGAUGACCCUCGCGGGGCCGGGGCUGAGGAUAAAAGAAGACAAUCCACGACGACGGUUUGUGGAAGCAUCCGGGGACGAUGAAGGAGCUGGAGAAGGCCGGAUUAUUCCUCUGCCACGGGGCUAGAUUGGGUCCCCGGUCAGCGAUCGGCGGGCCACGGGGGCGGCGGGGGCGGGCAGGCGGUCGGUCCUCCCGUCUCGGAUCCCUUUCAGGCAGGGGGCUGGGCCUGGAGCCCAGGAUGAGCCACAUUCUGGAGGAACCGGGCCCACCCUGGGCAGCGGGAG